rnacentral:rRNA from 1 species
UACGUAGGGUGCGAGCGUUGUCCGGAAUUAUUGGGCGUAAAGGGCUCGUAGGCGGUUUGUCGCGUCGGGAGUGAAAUCAUCUGGCUUAACUGGGUGCUUGCUUUCGAUACGGGCAGACUAGAGGUAUGCAGGGGAGAACGGAAUUCCUGGUGUAGCGGUGAAAUGCGCAGAUAUCAGGAGGAACACCAGUGGCGAAGGCGAGUUUCUGGACAAAUCCUGACGCUGAGGCACGAAAGCUAGGGGAGCAAACAGG